AUUGAACGCUGGCGGCAUGCUUUACACAUGCAAGUCGAACGGCAGCGCGGGCUUCGGCCUGGCGGCGAGUGGCGAACGGGUGAGUAAUGCAUCGGAACGUGCCCAGUAGUGGGGGAUAGCCCGGCGAAAGCCGGAUUAAUACCGCAUACGACCUGAGGGUGAAAGCGGGGGACCGAAAGGCCUCGCGCUAUUGGAGCGGCCGAUGUCGGAUUAGCUAGUUGGUGGGGUAAAGGCUUACCAAGGCGACGAUCCGUAGCUGGUCUGAGAGGACGACCAGCCACACUGGGACUGAGACACGGCCAAGACUCCUACGGGAGGCAGCAGUGGGGAAUUUUGGACAAUGGGGGCAACCCUGAUCCAGCCAUGCCGCGUGCGGGAAGAAGGCCUUCGGGUUGUAAACCGCUUUUGUUCGGGAAGAAAUCCUUUGGGCUAAUACCCCGGGGGGAUGACGGUACCGGAAGAAUAAGCACCGGCUAACUACGUG
rnacentral:rRNA from 1 species